UCGGUAGCUCAGUUGGUAGAGCAGAGGACUGAAAAUCCUUGUGUCGGCAGUUCGAUUCUGUCCCGAG
rnacentral:tRNA from 1 species